GACGUAGGAGGCGAGCGUUGUCCGGAUUCAUUGGGCGUAAAGAGCGCGCAGGCGGCUUGGUAAGUCGGAUGUGAAAACCCGAGGCUCAACCUCGGGCGUGCAUCCGAAACUGCUCGGCUAGAGGUAGGUAGGGGAGAUCGGAAUUCCUGGUGUAGCGGUGAAAUGCGCAGAUAUCAGGAGGAACACCGGUGGCGAAGGCGGAUCUCUGGGCCUUACCUGACGCUCAGGAGCGAAAGCGUGGGGAGCGAACAGG
rnacentral:rRNA from 1 species